rnacentral:rRNA from 1 species
CAGCCGCCGCGGUAAUACGAGGGGGGCGAGCGUUGUUCGGAAUUAUUGGGCGUAAAGGGUGCGUAGGCGGUUUGACAAGUCUUAUGUGAAAUCUCUGGGCUCAACCCAGAGUCUGCAUGGGAAACUGUCGAGCUUGAGUAUGGGAGAGGUGAGUGGAAUUUCCGGUGUAGCGGUGAAAUGCGUAGAUAUCGGAAGGAACACCUGUGGCGAAAGCGGCUCACUGGACCAUUACUGACGCUGAUGCACGAAAGCUAGGGGAGCAAACAGGAUUAGAUACCCCCGUAGUCCCUGUCUCUUAUAC